GACAUUCGUUCAGUACCUAUAAGGUUCACCUACAGGCAUGUUGUCAAGACUGAGGUGUCUACUUGGGAGAGAUAAUGGACAGCAUGGAAAGACCAGAGUGAGAAAGAAGGAAGCUGGCCCUAGGUCUCACUGCAAAACAUGGAGAAAUAAAUGGUCCUGGGGAAGACACAGUAAGAAAAUCUCCAUUCUCAUUUGGAACAGGCCACAGCCCAGGAUGAGAGCCUCCUUCAGACAGCUGAUGCAGCAGGAGCAUAAAGUAUCACAGGAAAGUGAGCCACACAGGGCAUUGGUGGCAGGACUGAGGCUCUGGACCUUGGCUUCCAGUGUGAAUAGGCCCUGAUCUUUUCUAAUCUGUGCCCCAGCCAGGCUGCUUCUGGGUCUGAUGGCCUUUCCUCCUCACAUAGCAGAUCUAGGGAGAACUGAGGAGUUCAAAGAAGCCACAGACACCUUGGACCCAUGACAUUCUCCACCCUCGGAUCAAGGCCUCCUC